rnacentral:lncRNA from 1 species
UUCGCAUAAAAGGCAAAGUUUUCCAUUAAAAUGGUUUUUUCCGUGUGUCAACUACAGUGGGAAGAAUGUUCCUGAUAGAAAAACCCAAAGAAUGUCCGCAUAGAAGGAAAAGAAAAAAAAGGUACAGAAGACAUAUAUCGUCAGCGAAAGAGGCGACAACCACCACCAGCACCAGCACCGGAAAUUUUUGGACAUGCCAGGUAUGAAUAGUUUCAUCACGUUGCACGAAAUAUAGUCCGGACAUCGUGCCAAGAACAAGUUAUUCUUUUCGCUUUGAGGAUUUCCAAGGGAUGGCAAGGAAAAAUGGAGAGAGUGGAUGCAAAAGUCUAGACGUAACAGGAGGAAAAUGCGAGCGAGCCUGCCGCCUGUGAUCCAGAAAGAUGUUAGUUCUAGACGGAGCUCUGGAAGAAGAGAGAGCUCCAUCACCACUUCGAAGCAAAGAUGGAGAAGAAAUGUUCAAGGUACCUUUGUUCGCCAAUCUCUCAGCGCAGCAGCGGAUCAUCUUCUCAGCCAGCAGCAACAAUUCAGCCAGGCGCUGCAGCGAGGCAGCGAGAGUUCUCCUCGGGAAUGCAAGUCCUUCACAGCUGCAGGAGGCGAGUAGCUUUGGUGAGAAUCAAAACUUCAAAGCUCCUGGCUCGGUACCUUUCAAAUGGGAAGAACAACCCGGUAAGCCGAAGUCGCCGUCUUCGCUGAGCUACUCGAGCUCUCCCGGGAGCUCUCCACUGUCGUUUC